GACGAACGCUGGCGGCGUGCUUAACACAUGCAAGUCGAGCGGUAAGGCCCUUUCGGGGGUACACGAGCGGCGAACGGGUGAGUAACACGUGGGUGACCUGCCCUCAGCUCUGGGAUAAGCCUGGGAAACCGGGUCUAAUACUGGAUAUGACUCCAUGACGCAUGUUGUGGGGUGAAAGCCUUGUGCGGCUGAGGAUGGGCCCNGGCCUAUCAGCUUGUUGGUGGGGUGANGGGCCUACCAAAGGCGACGACGGGUAGCCGGCCUGAGAGGGCGACCGGCCACACUGGGACUGAGACACGGCCCAGACUCCUACGGGAGGCAGCAGUGGGGAAUCUUGCGCAAUGGGCGAAAGCCUGACGCAGCGACGCCGCGUGAGGGAUGACGG
rnacentral:rRNA from 1 species